rnacentral:lncRNA from 1 species
AAAUGCAAAAACACAUGUUCGAGUCUUGUAAGCUUCUGGGAUUCAACCUGCCAACCCCUGAGGCUAAACAGCUCAUCUCAACACCCACCCCAAGAUCCAACCAGGAAGUGGCCCAGGAAAGAUGAACCUCUGAAGCUUCUUCCAAAAGCAGAAAAAGUCAUUGGGCCUUAACAAGGAGGGUCCUCAACCGCAAGAAGACAACCC